GCACUCUCAGUUCACUGUAACCUCUGCCUCCUGGGCUCAAGCGAUUCUCCUGCCUCAGCCUCCCAGGUAGCUGGGGCUACAGGCACAUACCACCAUGUCUGGCUAAUUUUUGUAUUUCUAUUAGAGACAGGGUUUUACUGUGUUGGCCAGGCUGGUCUCAAACAUCUGACCUCAGGUGAUCCGCCCACCUCAGCCUCCCAGAGUGCUGGGAUUACAGAUAUGAGCCACUGUGCCCAGCCAAGGGAGGAUUUUUAAAAGUCUAUAUUUCAGCCUGUCCCAUUUUUUGAUUCAGAUCUUAGAUAGAAAAAGGAAGUUUUAUUUUGGUGACCGAGAUAUAGGUCCUGGUUGGGUGAGUCUUUCUGAAUAAUGCUCAGUCUGCUGGUAAUUUUGUCACUUACUCAAGCUUCAGGCCUUGAGAUGGGCAAAAGAGCUCUGUUCUCUUCUGUUUUUCUUUCCUGUUGCUCUUGCCAGAACUGCCGUUGCCAGGAAGUUUGGGGCAGGUCCCAAGCAACAUGGGUUCCCAAAGAGGGGUGGGAGUAGAAAUCUCUAGAAAAUAUGACUGCAAGAGAAGGUGAAUUCCAUGACUGCCUGGCCUUGGUGGCUGUGUCACAAUUGCUGCAUAUAUUUUAAAAUGUAUAUGUAAGUCCUGGACUUGAGAAUUCUUAGGAAACCCUUCUUCUUUUCUCUCUUUUUGGUCUUUCCUCCUACUCUCUCUGUAAUCUUUAGUUUUUUGAAAGCAUAGAAUGAUAUGUAAUUAUUAUUUAUAAAUCAUGUAUAAACAAUUGAAAUUCCCUGACCCUCUCCAAUUCUCUAUCCCUGUCCCUCCGUAGCCUCUGUAUGUAUAUGUUUCUAGAUGUUUUAUGCUUACAUACACGUGCACAUAUAUAUAUAUAUAUAUAAAUGUAUAUGCCCACAUAUAUGUGAAUGAUAAAUACAUUUUUCAAUUAAUAUGUAUUUCUACGUCACAGAUAUGUUGGUAUGUACAGAUAUACCACAUUCUUUGAAAUGACCACAUGGUAUUCUGUUGUGAGGAGGCAUCAAAUUUAUUUAUCCAAACCACAGUGAAGGAUAUUUAGGUGCUUUUGGAAAUUGUGUUACAUAAAUAGGGCUGCACUUUUGAACACACAUCUUGACUCAUUUUUAAUAUAUCUGUAAGUAAGAGAUGGAAUUCCUGGGGCUUAAAGUAUAUUAUACAUUUUGGUAAAUAAUGUCACAUUGCCCUAUGACUGUCAUAAAGGUUAUGACAGUCUUAACUAAUUUUUGCUCUUAUUUAAUCUGAGCAUAUGUUAUUUGUACUUGUCUACUAUUUCAUACUUUUGGCAUAUUUUAUUCCAUAUAUUCUGCCUUAGCCUGUGCUCCUUUUUCCCCUACACUAUCAGGAAUACAUAGUGCUUUAAUAGUAGAUGUUCAAUACGAUAUGGGUUUUAGGAAGAAAAAACCUCCCUACUCAUUUGAGAAUAAUGUAGUAACCCCAAGCUCAGUGCAUUGUCCUGUCAUUUUUGUGGACACUGUUUUGAUAUUCCUUAAAAAUGGAUAGUAAACAUCAGGUAGGUACUAAGAUAUCAAUUAAGAGAAAGUACUCCUAUUCACUAGACACUAGUAGUGAUUAAUCCCACUUAAAAAAUCCACUUAUUCAUUCAGCAAAUAUUUUUUCAAAGCCUAUUCUGUGCUAAGUGCUAUACUAAUCCACCGAAGGUUUUAUAUCUUACUAUAUAUAUAUGAGUUUGGGGUACUUGAAUAGAAGUUACAAAUUAGUGUAUGAAUAAUGCCUUUGAGUGGUUCUGAAAACAUUUUAAAUUUUACUGCUGUAGUUGGCUGUGAAUGAAGAAACUUUGCCUAGGACAGACUUUAGGACUCAUUUGUCUCAGUCUCUGUUUAUGAUCUGCUGAAGAAUCUACAUUUUUCAGGUUAGAUGCUUUAUAGAAUGCAAUCAAAGUUAAAAUUUUUAGCCAUAGGUUCUAAAACUUAAACAAAACAUGAGUGAAUUGUAGUCUGUUUCUUUCUGUCUUCCCAUCUCUCUCUGGUAUGCCCUUAGUUUAAAAAGAGUUGUUUUGUUUGGGUUGCUCUGCCGUAAAGAAGGAAUUUGAAGAGGAAUCAGUAAAAAGAAGGAGAUGGCUCCAUUAAUCAAGUGUGAAAGACUUUUCCAGGAAACAGGCUAGUGUAAAAGCUGCAAGUGAAAUGUAUAAAUACAGAUCUAAGGUUUUAAAAGAAGAUACACUGCUCUUGAAUUAUGGCUCCUAAAAAAUCCAAGGUAGAAGCAAAAUCACUGAAAAUAUUUCAAGAGCUGGCAUUUGGAUAUCUUGGUUAUUAGGAGUAAACAUUUUGAAGCAAAACAUGUGAUUAAGGCUCUUGAGAAGAGGAGCUUAUCCUGCAUUAUCCAGAGCUGCCCAUCUUAAAAAAUGCCCAUUGACAUUAUUCACAAUAGCAAAGACUUGGAACCAACCCAAAUGUCCAUCAGUGAUAGACUGGAUUAAGAAAAUGUGGCACAUAUACACCAUGGAAUACUAUGCAGCCACAAGAAAAGAUGAGUUCAUGUCCUUUGUAGGGACAUGGAUGAAGCUGGAAACCAUCAUUCUCAGCAAACUAUCGCAAGGCCAAAAAACCAAACACC
rnacentral:lncRNA from 10 species